rnacentral:rRNA from 1 species
GAUGAACGCUGGCGGCGUGCCUAAUACAUGCAAGUCGAGCGAACAGAUGAGGAGCUUGCUCCUCUGACGUUAGCGGCGGACGGGUGAGUAACACGUGGAUAACCUACCUAUAAGACUGGGAUAACUUCGGGAAACCGGAGCUAAUACCGGAUAAUAUAUUGAACCGCAUGGUUCAAUAGUGAAAGACGGUUUUGCUGUCACUUAUAGAUGGAUCCGCGCCGCAUUAGCUAGUUGGUAAGGUAACGGCUUACCAAGGCAACGAUGCGUAGCCGACCUGAGAGGGUGAUCGGCCAAACUGGAACUGAGACACGGUCCAGACUCCUACGGGAGGCAGCAGUAGGGAAUCUUCCGCAAUGGGCGAAAGCCUGACGGAGCAACGCCGCAUGAGUGAUGAAGGUCUUCGGAUCGUAAAACUCUGUUAUUAGGGAAGAACAAAUGUGUAAGUAACUAUGCACGUCUUGACGGUACCUAAUCAGAAAGCCACGGCUAACUACGUG